rnacentral:lncRNA from 1 species
AGAGGAGGGGGAGCCUCCGGCGACCUGUCUUCUAUCUCCGGAGCCCCGCCUGAGGCUCCAAGAUGGCACAGUCAGGCUGUCCUUAGUGACCGCUGCCACGGAGCUGGCGAUCGGCCUGCAUCUUCAAACCCAGGAGCAGGAGCAGCAGAGGCUGGCAAGGCCUGGGCCCUCAGACACCAGGGGCCUAAACCCAGCUCCCAAACCCACUGCAGCCUCCCCUUGUGA